rnacentral:rRNA from 2 species
UGGGGAAUAUUGCACAAUGGAGGGAACUCUGAUGCAGCGACGCCGCGUGAACGAAGAAGGCUUUCGAGUCGUAAAGUUCUUUUAUAUGGGAAGAUAAUGACGGUACCAUAAGAAAAAGCCCCGGCUAACUACGUGCCAGCAGCCGCGGUAAUACGUAGGGGGCUAGCGUUGUCCGGAAUCACUGGGCGUAAAGGGUUCGCAGGCGGAAAUGCAAGUCAGGUGUAAAAGGCAGUAGCUUAACUACUGUAAGCAUUUGAAACUGCAUAUCUUGAGAAGAGUAGAGGUAAGUGGAAUUUUUAGUGUAGCGGUGAAAUGCGUAGAUAUUAAAAAGAAUACCGGUGGCGUAGGCGACUUACUGGGCUCAUUCUGACGCUGAGGAACGAAAGCGUGGGUAGCAAACAGG